CCUACGGGAUGCAGCAGUGAGGAAUAUUGGUCAAUGGGCGAGAGCCUGAACCAGCCAAGUCGCGUGAGGGAGUACUGCCCUAUGGGUUGUAAACCUCUUUUGUCGGGGAGCAAAAGCCGGACGUGUCCGGCUGUGAGAGUACCCGAAGAAAAAGCAUCGGCUAACUCCGUGACAGCAGCCGCGGUAAUACGGAGGAUGCGAGCGUUAUCCGGAUUUAUUGGGUUUAAAGGGUGCGCAGGCGGAUUUUUAAGUCAGCGGUAAAAUCGUGGGGCUCAACCCCAUCCAGCCGUUGAAACUGGGGAUCUAGAGUGUGCGAGAGGUAUGCGGAAUGCGUGGUGUAGCGGUGAAAUGCAUAGAUAUCACGCAGAACCCCGAUUGCGAAGGCAGCAUACCGGUGCACAACUGACGCUCAGGCACGAAAGCGUGGGUAUCGAACAGGAUUAGAUACCCUGGUAGUC
rnacentral:rRNA from 1 species